CUUCUUUAUAUGAAUCCAUACUGUGAUUGAAGUGUGGGUUGCUGUACCUAACUGUAUAGAGGAAUGGUGUUUGCUUAUGGAUUCCUAGAUGUCCCGGAUCAUAUGGUUACCUUUAGCAUUUUAAAUACACAUUGUAUGAUGCCAUGCAGUGAUAGCAAUAAACUUUCUUGGGGACAUAAAAAGCUUUAUUUAUAAAUAUGUCUUAGAAAAGUACAACGUUCCCCCAUUGCCAGGCAGGCCAGCUGCCAUUACUACACUAACACAUCAGUAACAACAGAACCUUACAGGGGACAAAAAGUGAUGCAGCAGAAGCCGGUACUUUUGCAGCCAUUAUUGAGAUCAGCUGCUCAAACAGUUCUCUCUGCUGAGGUUUGGCCUCCUCCCUUAGCUGCCAUUUCUGUUCUAGAAACUUCAAAGCAAGUGCCUGUCCUCAAGCCUCACAGCAAGCCUCAGCCUUUCCUCGAGCCAUACGUCCCUCGGUCUUUGGUACUGGACCUGAUUGGUGGCCCCGGCCAGACCUCACCUAUAGGUUCAUCACGGAAACACUUCCUCUUGGAACAAUCUGUAAAGCUAUGUUGGGCCAGGCUUAUACUGAACUGUGGAGGCACAGCAGCCACUAGAGGUUGAGACACCGAGAGGAGUUGGUUCAAAUAGCCCAGUGCAGGAGGACAUCAAAUGUUACUUUUCCAUACUGAACCUCAGUAUAUUGUGAGAGGGAUGCUUCAGACCACAGAAGCUCCCUGGACACAGCCUGGUUAAUCGCAGCAACAGAGGUGCAGAGGCAAUGGUAAGUUGUAAAUUCAAAACUGGUUUUUGUUUUCUAAAAAUUGCAGAACUAUUUGUGCUGGGGAUGGGAGGUGGGCAGUCAGUGGUCAUGUUACAAAGGCUUUUCCAAUCAUUUCAGGCAUGUGGUGCCCGACUGGCAAAAGAUGUUAUUUCAACCUGCUGGUGAGAAAACUGCAGCGUAUGCAGCCAGUGUAUUCAAAUGCACAGUGACUGAACAGCACAUCUGAGUGGAAAGGCCUGGACACCUACCGAAGUGGCCCUGGAACAUACGCCCUUCCCCAAAAUGUGACCAACUUAUCUGGAGUUCAUGCUGCAGGAGGAGUUUGCAUCUGUCAACAUACAGGAUUGGGUCAGACUUCAUGAGGGAAUCAACAGGAUUUUGUCUUAGGUUCCACCUGGCUGAACCAGAUAUGACUGUAUGCAAACACAUGUAACUCCACUGCCGUGCCUUCCCCCCUCACCCUGCACAUUUCUGGACUCAUUUCAAACCCAGCCGUAUUUGAGGCAAAUUAUUUUGUCACCUAUAGACUGCCUGGACUACCUUUACCUAAAUGGACUAGAUUGGUGAAUGGAUUUCUACCUCCUCCCCACACCGUUCACUGUUCCAGGUGGCUCAUUACGCUGCUGAGUGGUUACAGAGUGGCAAACUUACAGGAAUGGCAGUGGAAGGUUAGUAUUUUUAAGAAGCAGGAGUGGCCUAGCAAAAAUCUGCCUUUUCACUUUCAAGGCAUUUUUGCUGUUUGUAUUUCCCGAUCACCAUCUGGAACUCCAUGUUAGAGGAAGGUGGGGAACCAUGCCCCUGGGAUACAAUCUCCUGUUAGUGGAUACAUGCUUCUAGCCAGGACUUCUAAUAACUUAUGCAUUGGUUCAUAGAAUGGAAAUCCAUCCCAUUACUGUAUUAAAUGGAGUCAGAAACUUACCAGGCUCUGGAAUGGCUUCUGACCUGUGUCGGCUGCAGGCUCCAAGUCAGGCUGUUCUUUGGAGGGGAGGCAUCGAACAGCUCCUCCGAAUAUGGCCCUCGCAUGUGCUGCUGCUCCUGUGGCAAAUCCUCCCACAGGACUCUCUUCAGCAACAGAGUCACUUUGCUGGCCUCACUCUGGAUUCUGAGGCCAGCAGGGUGCCAUCCCAGCUGACCAGUUCAUCCUGCAUCAUUGGCUGUUCCCAGCACCUGGUGAAAUGCCUCAUAAAAUGGGCACAAUAGUGGUGAGUUGCCAACUGUGUGGUUCUGAUCUCUGGUUUUCCUGUCCUCACUCUUGAGCUGUUUAAGCCACUCCCUACGCUGGUUACAAGUCUGAUAUAUUUGCAAUGCUGCCAGCUUCUUCACUAUUUGCUGGUAAUGCUUGAUCAUUCCAGUAUGCUUACUGUGGUCCUGCUGGCUUUGCACCAGAGAUUAAUCAAAAUCUGGCUGCGUUUCCAUGACUAUGAAGCAACGGGCUUUGCAAAAAAGGCUGGUCAGUCUCUAGUGCAAAUGCUGAAAACUUUCUGAUGGUGCAUUUGCAGGUCUCUAGUCAGAAGCCAAUGGAAGGGUUAAUGCUGGCUCACUGAGCUGCUGCAGUACACCAAGAGACGUCGAUUCCAUUGGAGUCAAUUGAGGAUUCUUGGGAUAGAGAGGACUAAGGAAGGUGGCCCCAUGGGAUUGUGGGAUACUUUUGGCCAGUUGCCAGGACACGAGUCAAGCAGGACUAUGUUGACAUUGCAACUCAAUAGGUCUUAAACCCUGGUUCCUGGCUUGGCCCCUCCAGACCCACAGGGUCCUAGGUCAAGGCUGAGAGAUUUGUAUGUAGAUUGAAAGGGGAGGUUUAAACUGAAGCUUGAGUCCAGGUUUACAAUGCACUGUAACCAUAUCCUUAGAAGCUCAUGGUUUGCUAGAGAUGCUGCAAAUGAUGAGUGUAUGGAUAACUGCAUGCACUAUUCCUUAUAAAAGAAAGCACAUCUGUGUGGUUCAUAAUGGUUCUUUGAAAACUAAAAUGCUUCAGUUUAUAGCUCAAGUUACUUUGCCUUUGUUUCUUGUCAACUGAUUUCAUCCUGUUAUACUACUAACCUUUGUAACUCUGUACUGAAAUAAGGAGUCUAUGUUGUUGUUGCUUGUUUCUCUCACAUAGGCCUUGAUACAAUUUCCAUUCAGCAGUUGAAGAAGAAACUGUCUCAAUCUUUGACCGAAGACUCAGGUUUCCACUAUAGUUGGUAGCAAGGCUUCCUUUUCCUGACCUCAGGUGCUUCCUUAGGUUGUGAUUCACACAUUUCCUGCCUCUCUACUGACUAGCUGUGUGUGUGCUGGACUAGCUCACAUGUACAUCACGUGCCCCCCUUCACCAGAGAAAGAAAGUACUCCAUCUAAAUACACUGUGAAUAAUACUUAGCAUUUAUUUAGAAGGAAAAUGAAACCUAGUCUGUAGACUUUCCUACCUCGCUACCCUGUAGAGAUGGUCAUGCUGUUGAAGUUUGUUAAAGAAAAAAUCUCUGGGUAAAAAUGACCUAUUGAGACUGUCUACAUUAGAUCCAUUUUUCAAUUUCCUUGCAUUGGUUCUGCUUCAAUUGUGUUAGCAACUUUGAUAGAAUGGUGGUGGACAGCUGCAAGGCUAAAUCCUUAACACUGUAGCAGCUGCAGCAGCAGUUGUCCUAGUGCUGGUAACAGCAAUGACAUUAAAAAUGUGAACAGUGGAUAUUUUUCAUAAGUCAUCCUAGUGUAGAAAGGGCUAUUGUUAGAAGUCAUGCCAGAUUUGUGCAUUUCUCUUCAACCAUGGUAUGAAAAUAACCCAGUAAUUAAAAAAAGUCUGGAUUACUGAUUUGGAGCUUUUAUCAAUUUUGGCCUAUGCAUCGAUCCUCCCUUUUAGUGGGCUCGAAAAUACCUCACUGAUCUACAUAUCCUAUGUUCCAGGAGAUCAACCAACAGCUCAGGCAGCAGGUUCUCCAGACAGUCACCUAAUUCCCUGAAGAGAUCUGCACCUCUCCCAUGUUCUUGCUUUGAAGUGUAAAAUAAUGUAUCCCUUUGUUCUACAAUAGAUUCCAACCCUGCAUAAUUCAAGACCUCUUCAUGCCAUUUGAACUUGGAAGAAGAUUCCACCCCACUGCCUAGGUUGAUUAUGAUAUUAGAAGCAGGAGACAGCAUUUGCCACCUGAAUAGAGAAAAGAGGCUCUGACUCUACUAAUUCAAACAGCUACUGCCUGAGAAGAUCCACUGUGGUGGGAAGGUGAAGAAAGCCUUUACCUCCCCCAAGGUAUCUGGCAAGUCUUGAGGGAAAGCGGAGAAACACUCCCUUCUGCAGCAGACAGAAGCCAGUUGCAGACAUGUGGGAGAAUGAAAAAGCAGCAUAGGGCCAGCAGUAUGCAGAGAACCUAGCCUUGAGCAAAGCUCUCCCUUUAAAACAGUCAUUCAUUAUUCUCCAUGUUGGCCUUUUAACCUGCUGAUGUGAGAAUGGAGUAAGGAAGCUGCAGUCUCACCUGCUUAAAAAGGUGAGCAAGUCAAAUGCCCUGUUGUGAGAUGGGCUUCAGUAAGGGGUAACUCCAGCUGCACUGUAAAAAAUCCUACCUACCUACCUGCAUUCCUAUGCCAUGGAAAGCUACUAAGCACUUCUCCACUUCUGAAUAAUUUGUUUUACAUCUCCCCAAAAGCUACUACCAUUUUUAUUCUGAGAAGCAACUUCUGACAACUUUUAAAUGUUAAUAUUGUAACUCCAUUUUUUUGAAUGCUCAUGAAAAAUAAAAGUGCUGUCUAUGGUUUUGUAAAGCACCAAACA